UACGGAGGAUGCAAGCGUUAUCCGGAUUUACUGGGUUUAAAGGGUGCGUAGGCGGGUUGUUAAGUCAGUGGUGAAAGAUUUGAGCUCAACUCAAAAACUGCCAUUGAUACUGACAAUCUUGAAUAUAGUUGAGGUGGGCGGAAUGUGUCAUGUAGCGGUGAAAUGCUUAGAUAUGACACAGAACACCGAUUGCGAAGGCAGCUUGCGUAACUAUUAUUGACGCUGAGGCACGAAAGCGUGGGGAGCGAACAGG
rnacentral:rRNA from 1 species